rnacentral:rRNA from 1 species
GACGAACGCUGGCGGCGUGCCUAAUACAUGCAAGUAGAACGCUGAAGGAGGAGCUUGCUUCUCUGGAUGAGUUGCGAACGGGUGAGUAACGCGUAGGUAACCUGCCUGGUAGCGGGGGAUAACUAUUGGAAACGAUAGCUAAUACCGCAUAAUAUUGACUAUUGCAUGAUAGUCAGUUGAAAGGUGCAACUGCACCACUACCAGAUGGACCUGCGUUGUAUUAGCUAGUUGGUGGGGUAACGACUCACCAAGGCGACGAUACAUAGCCGACCUGAGAGGGUGAUCGGCCACACUGGGACUGAGACACGGCCCAGACUCCUACGGGAGGCAGCAGUAGGGAAUCUUCGGCAAUGGACGGAAGUCUGACCGAGCAACGCCGCGUGAGUGAAGAAGGUUUUCGGAUCGUAAAGCGCUGUUGUAAGAGAAGAACGAGUGUGAGAGUGGAAAGCUCACACUGUGACGGGAUCUUACCAGAAAGGGACGGCUAACUACG